GACGAACGCUGGCGGCGUGCUUAACACAUGCAAGUCGAACGGAAAGGCCCAGCUUGCUGGGUGCUCGAGUGGCGAACGGGUGAGUAACACGUGGGUGAUCUGCCUCUAACUUCGGGAUAAGCUUGGGAAACUGGGUCUAAUACCGGAUAGGACAAUCGUUUAGUGUCGGUCGUGGAAAGUUUUUUCGGUUAGGGAUGAGCCCGCGGCCUAUCAGCUUGUUGGUGGGGUAAUGGCCUACCAAGGCGUCGACGGGUAGCCGGCCUGAGAGGGUGGACGGCCACAUUGGGACUGAGAUACGGCCCAGACUCCUACGGGAGGCAGCAGUGGGGAAUAUUGCACAAUGGGCGCAAGCCUGAUGCAGCGACGCCGCGUGGGGGAUGACGGCCUUCGGGUUGUAAACCUCUUUCGACAGGGACGAAGCUUUGGUGACGGUACCUGUAGAAGAAGCACCGGCUAACUACGUG
rnacentral:rRNA from 1 species